UGCCCUAGUAACGGCGAGUGAAGCGGCAACAGCUCAAAUUUGAAAUCUGGCUCUCGGGCCCGAGUUGUAAUUUGUAGAGGAUACUUUUGAUGCGGUGCCUUCCGAGUUCCCUGGAACGGGACGCCAUAGAGGGUGAGAGCCCCGUCUGGUUGGAUGCCAAAUCUCUGUAAAGUUCCUUCAACGAGUCGAGUAGUUUGGGAAUGCUGCUCUAAAUGGGAGGUAUAUGUCUUCUAAAGCUAAAUACCGGCCAGAGACCGAUAGCGCACAAGUAGAGUGAUCGAAAGAUGAAAAGCACUUUGAAAAGAGAGUUAAAAAGUACGUGAAAUUGUUGAAAGGGAAGCGUUUAUGACCAGACUUGGGCUUGGUUAAUCAUCUGGGGUUCUCCCCAGUGCACUUUUCCAGUCCAGGCCAGCAUCAGUUUUCCCCGGGGGAUAAAGGCGGCGGGAAUGUGGCUCUCUUCGGGGAGUGUUAUAGCCCGUCGUGUAAUACCCUGGGGGGGACUGAGGUUCGCGCAUCUGCAAGGAUGCUGGCGUAAUGGUCAUCAACGACCCGUCUUGAAACACGGACCAAGGAGUCGUCUUCGUAUGCGAGUGUUCGGGUGUCAAACCCCUACGCGUAAUGAAAGUGAACGCAGGUGAGAGCUUCGGCGCAUCAUCGACCGAUCCUGAUGUUCUCGGAUGGAUUUGAGUAAGAGCAUACGGGGCCGGACCCGAAAGAAGGUGAACUAUGCCUGUAUAGGGUGAAGCCAGAGGAAACUCUGGUGGAGGCUCGCAGCGGUUCUGACGUGCAAAUCGAUCGUCAAAUAUGGGCAUGGGGGCGAAAGACUAAUCGA
rnacentral:rRNA from 1 species